rnacentral:lncRNA from 1 species
GGCUUCUGAGCGGCUCGGGUUCCGCGCUGCCGGCAGGGCUUGGGGGCGCCUUAGAGCCGGACCCCGUUUUUUCAGGAAAGGGCGCUGCGACCACCCCCGUCCCGGGCCUCAGCCCCUCUGCUGCAGACCCUCGGGAUCGUCGCUGGAAAGAUUCUGAAGCUCGGCGGAGAGGGGUGUGUGAGUGGACACCAGUGAAGUAACGGUUUUUGUGUUAACGAUGAUUUCUGUUUUCCUCUGCUGCCCUGUAAUGGCAGGAACUCGGAUAGUCUGGUCUUCAGACCAGGAGGACUCCCAGGAGAGAACGGAGAGCCAGCGUGCUGUGUGUCACGGUCCCUGGAUGAACGUUUGUGGAACUGGAUUGAAUUAAACAAGACGUGCAAAGCAAGUGGUUCACGAGAUUUGAUUGCUGUAGGGACCCCGUGGGUGUGGAAUCAGACGGUAUUGGUCCUUUCAUGACUGGCUUAUUUCACAGAACCCGAUGCCGUCGAGGUCCAUCCAUGCUGAGAUAUUUAUGGAGCAUCCCCAGCUGCUGGAUGCUGGGACCCACCAGUGGGCAAGAGGGCCGUGCCCACCCCUUCCUGGAAGAGACACUCACUCAGUAAAUGCAGAGAUUCAGUGUUGGGGUAACCCCCGCACACAGCCCUGAGGGAGGAAGCCCGGUGAUUUGAUCGGAUUUGCUUUUCUCUUCCGCCUCGGAUUCCAUCCAAGCCCUGGAAGGACCUCUGACCUGCUCCGUGGCUGGUUCUAGGCCCCACUCAAGCCUCCUCCUCCAGGAAGCCUUCCCAGUCCUGGGCAUCUGUAGCCACCUCGGUGUUUCUCACCUGGGGCCUGGGACGUCUCCCAUUCUGAACUGCCGUGUUUUGGGUUUACUGUUCUCUGGCUUUUGGUCCCAGCCGGACGGUGGCCUCUUGUGUUCAGGGACAAGGCGAGGAGCAUCCAUGCACCCCCACAGUACCCAGGCUGGGUCUGUGCCCGCCAGGCCCCCGGCAAAGCUUGGAUGAUCCGGGCUGGGCUGUUCUGCUGCUGCUCUCCUGCUGCUGGCCUCGCUGUAUCAGCUGGUGGCCAUCGCACCUCCUGCACCCGUCAUCCCGCCCUGCACGCCCCCACCACGCGGAUGAGCUCCCUGGGGAGUUAAUGGCUAAUGGAGUCUCCUCUCUUGUCAAAUGCAGCCAUCAUCCGCUGGUGCUUUAAGGGACCCUCUCCUGUCCCCACCCUAUUCUCAGGUGGCUCCUACCGACACCACCUAAUGGUGAACCCCAACACGAGGACACAGGCAGUGCCCUCCCAGGACCACUGUGGGUGCCACCGGGCACGACUUCCUAAACACCCACAGAGCAAAAACCUGGAAAUUCAGCCGAGGCACUGGGACCCCAACCUCUCCCAGAGCGGCCCCAGCUCCACGGCGUCUGCAUGGCUCUGGCCGUGAGCAGAGCAGCCCCGACCACCAUCCUGACCCAGGGGCCGGAGCGCCACUGCGGAUCUCACCACCACACAAGCCAGACCUGCUAGGAAGCCCUUCCCGGCCACCAGCUCUCGGGCCGAUGCACACAACAGGGCCUUUUGAAUUCCCUGAGGUUAAGGUUCCCCUUGAGUCUCCUGGGCUACAAGCAAAUCCCCCGAGGGGAGGAGUCCAGGCUGACACAGCCUCCUGCACCCCUGCCUUGGGAGGCCACACCUCGUUUGCCUCUAGAACCGACGACUGGGGAGCACCGUUUGCAGAGUUCUCUCUCUCUGGGUAAGUUCCGGAGCCACAUCUCACUGGAUCCGCCACGGCCUGGGUGGACGGCUCUCGUGUGUUUAUAGCUGGGUCCCUCGCUUGGGAGCUGCCCCUGGGUGGGCGGCCUCUCCAGCCUGUUUGAGUGCUCCACCCGGAGCAGGAAGAGGGCCGUGUGCUCUGGGCAGUGGUUCCUUGGGCACUGCAUGGUCCUUGCUUCCCUCCAGGGCCCACCUUCCCUGGCCACUGCAUCCCAGGCGAGGGUAGGCCCCUUUUGCCAGCUGAAGGCAGAAAGGCCGGCAGCCCUGGGGUGGGGGCGGGCAGAGAAGCCCCCCGGAGUGGUCUCCGUUCUUCUAAAAGUGAUGUUGACCCCCAUGUCGCAGGCAGCUGGCAGGGUGGCAGUUCGAUCUGUCGUUACGGGCUUGCACCACUGCGGUCUCCCACCCAGGGAGCAUCUCUGUCCAACCACAGCGAGCCUCCAGCUCCUACCCUCUGCCUGGGCUGGGGCAGAGCCUGGGGUCUGGGUGGGAGAAGCGUGACUCUGGGAUUAGACCUUACAAAGCAGGUUCCUCCUGGGAGUCAGCCUGGGUCUAAACGCAGCUGGGCAUGAAGGGGUGCCAUCGGAUGUCGAGUUAGGAGGACGAGAGACCUCCAGCCCCGGCACCCGCAUGUCUCUUUGGAAACCAGCUUUGGCUGCGCCCCUGGGGACACCAUCUGCCGUGGCCUCCCGCUCUCCUCCCCGGCACAGGCAGGGGGUCUCCCUCCUCCACCGCCACUCCCUCGGCCUCGCCCUCCCCACCAGGCACCUGGCUUUUCCCCACCGACCCCCCCCGGGGGGCUGUGGCCCCCAGAAAGGCUGCACUCUGGGAGCAAAGUGGCCUGAAACCAGAGAAAAGAACGCCGGGGGAUUUGGCUUAAACUCGUUAAACCCAAUGAACCCUCUCGCCGAA